CACGUAGGCGGACUCUUAAGUCGGGGGUGAAAUCCUGGAGCUCAACUACAGAACUGCCUUCGAUACUGAGAGCCUUGAGUCCGGGAGAGGUGAGUGGAACUGCGAGUGUAGAGGUGAAAUUCGUAGAUAUUCGCAAGAACACCAGUGGCGAAGGCGGCUCACUGGCCCGGUACUGACGCUGAGGUGCGAAAGCGUGGGGAGCAAACA
rnacentral:rRNA from 1 species